rnacentral:lncRNA from 1 species
UUUAAUGUUUUUUACAUAUUGAGUAUAAUAUUAAUAUACUUUAUUUUGCAAAUUAUUUCAUGUUUAAUUUCGUUUUUAGUUUCUACAGAAGUAUUGGAUGCAAGCGUAAAAUGGUUAGAAACAAAUAGAGAACCAUGGGAAAUGGUCGAAAAUCAUUGGAAAGCUACUGCAACUAUUCGUUUAAAAGACGCUGAAAACAAUCGAAAUAAGUUAAUUUCAGAUAUCUUUGAAAAAUGGCCGAUUUUAAUACACCCUAUGGGCUGGUUAUUAAUUGUUCACGAUUUUCAAUAUUUAUAAUAUUGUACAACCGAAAACGGCAUUAGUCAGUGGCCACAAUUCUUUUCAAAUGUAGCAAAAAUUUGUCCUCUUGAAAAAAAGAAAAUUUUUCGCGCACGUGAAUUAUUUCAAAUAAUAGAAAGUGAUAACAGUGAUGAGUCUAAAGCUAUUGCACAAUUAUGCGCAUUACCGUAUAUGAUUCCUCCCAAAGGAAGAAUAAGAACGAAAGAAGGUCAUUGGAAACCCUCAAUGAUAGAAUGUGAAGAAAGUCUUGUGAUACAUGCAAAGACUGCUGGAGAUAUAACCGAGAUUCGAGAACAACGGAUCGAUGCUAUGUAUCAAAAAGGAUUGACGGUUCAACCCUAUAUAAUUGUCGUAGGACCAACCCUGGCUGAAAUAACAUCAUUUUUUGUAUCCGUUGACAAAGUCUUAUAUAAUAUGACAUCGGCCUUUAAGGCAAUUGAUACGUGCUUCAAGAUAUUUCAUGUAUUAAAUAUUGAAUAUCCAACAGCAAGUAAUCACAUUUGGCUACUAAUUCAACGUGAGUUGUAUAAAUUUACUACAAAAUAUGAUAGAAAUUCUUCAUUCAUUUUAGAAGUAAUAAAUGCAAUGAAAAAGAAUGAAGCAUAAAAAAUAAGUAUAAGUUUAAUAUUUAGCGAUAAGUUGUUUAAAAUACUCAUUGACGUGUGUAUAAUUUUAAGUGUUUAUAAUUUUAAGGAAAUUUUUUAUGAUGUAUUGUUGCCCGUUUUGCUUUGAAUCGUAUGAAUGCAUUACAAGUUUAAAAACUCAUUGUAAAGUUAAACAUACAAAAACACAUUCUAUUUUUCGAUGCCGACAGAAAUUGUCAACAGGAAGAACACAAUUAUCUUCAAUAACGUGUUCUCGUUCCUUUACCGACAUUUAUAGUUUUUUAAAACAUUUAUCCAAAACUCAUUCGAUAAACAGUAAUACUGCAUGCGGAAAUAGUUUAAAAAACAGUAUGGAAAAUAAUAUAUAUCAUCGUAAUAAUACGGAAGAAAUAACAAUUAAUUCCUCACAAUCUAAUAGUAUGAAAGAAAUAACAAUAGAUUCUUCACAAUUAAUGCCAUCUGUUUCUCAUGUCACUAAUAACAGCGAUACUUCUGUUAAUAUCUCGGUUACAGAAUUUGCAGAGAAGAUUGCACAAAGUUCAACCUUAUUUGUUGCAAAUUUAUACUCUCGACCAUCACUACCGCGUGUAUUGUGUCAGGAAAUAAUCGAAUUAAUAAAAAAUCAAUUAAAUUGCGUUCAAAUACUACAAGAAAAAUACAAAUCUAUUGAUCCGAAUCCUCAUCAAGAUUUAAUUGCUAUGUUUAAUAUUUUACAUAAUAAAUUUGAAAACUAUUCUUCCGAAUAUUAAACAAUGUCAUAUUUUAAAUCAUUACAUUCUUUAAUAGAACCGCAAGAAAUAUGUAUUGACGCAUUUAUUGACACCAGUAUUAAAACUAGUAACAAACAACUGCUCGUAAGAAAUAGAAAAAUAUGUAUUGUACCACUUGAAGAAAUGUUGAAGACAUUUCUCGAAUUGCCAAAUGUAUAUAAUAGUAUAAUAACAAACAUUCAAGAAAAUGAGCAAAACGUAAUUAAGAAUAUAUUUCAAAGUG